UACAGAGGUCUCAAGCGUUGUUCGGAUUCAUUGGGCGUAAAGGGUGCGUAGGUGGCGUCGUAAGUCGGGUGUGAAAUUUCGGAGCUUAACUCCGAAACUGCAUUCGAUACUGCCGUGCUUGAGGACUGGAGAGGAGACUGGAAUUUACGGUGUAGCGGUGAAAUGCGUAGAUAUCGUAAGGAAGACCAGUGGCGAAGGCGGGUCUCUGGACAGUUCCUGACGCUGAGGCACGAAGGCCAGGGGAGCAAACGGGG
rnacentral:rRNA from 1 species